rnacentral:rRNA from 1 species
GAUGAACGCUGGCGGCGUGCCUCAUACAUGCAAGUCGAGCGAACGGACGAGAAGCUUGCUUUCCUGAUGUUAGCGGCGGACGGGUGAGUAACAAGUGGAUAACCUACCUAUAAGACUGGGAUAACUUCGGGAAACCGGAGCUAAUACCGGCUAAUAUUUUGCACCGCAUGGUUCAAAAGUGAAAGACGGUCUUGCUGACACUUAUAGAUGGAUCCGCGCUGCAUUAGCUAGUUGGUAAGGUAACGGCUUACCAAGGCAACGAUGCAUAGCCGACCUGAGAGAGUGAUCGGCCACACUGGAACUGAGACACGGUCCAGACUCCUACGGGAGGCAGCAGUAGGGAAUCUUCCGCAAUGGGCGAAAGCCUGACGGAGCAACGCCGCGUGGGUGAUGAAGGUCUUCGGAUCGUAAAACUCUGUUAUUAGGGAAGAACAUAUGUGUAAGUAACUGUGCACAUCUUGACGGUACCUAAUCAGAAAGCCACGGCUAACUACGUG